rnacentral:misc_RNA from 1 species
CGCACAUUGCGCCCUCUGGCAUUCCGGGGGGCAUGCCCGUUCGAGCGUCAUUAAAUCCAAUCAAGCCUGGCUUGGUAUUGGGCGUCGGGACCUCCCCGCGCCCGAAUUUCACCGGCUGGCCGUCGCCCGUCUUAGCGUUGUGAUACACUCUCGCUACAGGCCAAAGCGGACACGCCGUCAAAACACAACGAAUUUCAAUCGAAAUUUGAUUAAGGUUGACCUCGGAUCGGGUAGGAAUACCCGCUGAACUUAA